rnacentral:rRNA from 1 species
GCAGCAGUGGGGAAUUUUCCGCAAUGGGCGAAAGCCUGACGGAGCAACGCCGCGUGAGGGACGAAGGCCUCUGGGCUGUAAACCUCUUUUCUCAAGGAAGAAGAUAUGACGGUACUUGAGGAAUAAGCCACGGCUAAUUCCGUGCCAGCAGCCGCGGUAAUACGGGAGUGGCAAGCGUUAUCCGGAAUUAUUGGGCGUAAAGCGUCCGCAGGCGGCCUUUCAAGUCUGCUGUUAAAGCGUGGAGCUUAACUCCAUUAUGGCAGUGGAAACUGAUCGGCUUGAGUAUGGUAGGGGCAGAGGGAAUUCCCGGUGUAGCGGUGAAAUGCGUAGAUAUCGGGAAGAACACCAGUGGCGAAGGCGCUCUGCUGGGCCAUUACUGACGCUCAUGGACGAAAGCCAGGGGAGCGAAAGGGAUUAGAUACCCCUGUAGUCCUGGCCGUAAACGAUGAACACUAGGUGUCGGGGGAAUCGACCCCUUCGGUGUCGUAGCUAACGCGUCAAGUGUACCGCC